CCCUUAGAUGUCCUGGGCCGCACGCGCGCUACACUGACAUGUUCAACAAGUUUCUCCUAGUUCGACAGGACCGGGAAAUCUUUGAACGCAUGUCGUGAUAGGGAUAGAUCAUUGCAAUUAUUGAUCUUGAACGAGGAAUUCCUAGUAAACGCGAGUCAUCAGCUCGCAUUGAUUACGUCCCUGCCCUUUGUACACACCGCCCGUCGCACCUACCGAUUGAAUGUUUCGGUGAAGAUUCCGGAUAGGACUGAUUUGAUUUAUUUCAUUUCUGACCUAAAAGCUAUCUAAACCUCAACAUUUAGAGGAAGGUGAAGUCGUAACA
rnacentral:rRNA from 1 species